AGAGUUUGAUCCUGGCUCAGGAUGAACGCUGGCGGUAUGCGUAACACAUGCAAGUCGAACGAAGUUUUUCGGAACUUAGUGGCGGACGGGUGAGUAACGCGUGAGAAUCUGCCUUAAGGAUUGGGACAACAGUGGGAAACCGCUGCUAAUACCAAAUAUGCCUUUUAGUGAAACGGGUAAAACCGCCUUAAGAUGAGCUCGCGUCUGAUUAGCUAGUUGGUGUGGUAAGAGCGCACCAAGGCAACGAUCAGUAGCUGGUCUGAGAGGACGACCAGCCACACUGGGACUGAGACACGGCCCAGACUCCUACGGGAGGCAGCAGUGAGGAAUUUUCCGCAAUGGGCGAAAGCCUGACGGAGCAAUACCGCGUGAGGGAGGAAGGUUCUUGGAUUGUAAACCUCUUUUCUCAGAGAAGAAUAAUGACGGUAUCUGAGGAAUAAGCAUCGGCUAACUCCGUGCCAGCAGCCGCGGUAAUACGGAGGAUGCAAGCGUUAUCCGGAAUGAUUGGGCGUAAAGGGUCUGUAGGUGGUUGUUCAAGUCUGCUGUUAAAGCGUCUGGCUUAACCAGAUAAAGGCGGUGGAAACUGAACGACUAGAGUGCGGUAGGGGUAGAGGGAAUUCCCAGUGUAGCGGUGAAAUGCGUAGAUAUUGGGAAGAACACCUGUGGCGAAAGCGCUCUACUGGACCGCGACUGACACUGAUGGACGAAAGCUAGGGGAGCGAAUGGGAUUAGAUACCCUUGUAGUCC
rnacentral:rRNA from 1 species